rnacentral:rRNA from 1 species
GACGUAGGAUGCGAGCGUUGUCCGGAUUUAUUGGGCGUAAAGAGUUCGUAGGUGGUUUGUUAAGUCUGAUGUUAAAGACUGGGGCUCAACCUCGGAAAUGCAUUGGAUACUGGCAGACUUGAGUGCAGUAGAGGCAAGCGGAAUUCCAGGUGUAGCGGUGAAAUGCGUAGAUAUCUGGAAGAACACCGGUGGCGUAAGCGGCUUGCUGGGCUGUAACUGACACUGAGGAACGAAAGCUAGGGUAGCGAAUGGG